AUUGAACGCUGGCGGCAGGCUUAACACAUGCAAGUCGAACGAGUGGCGGACGGGUGAGUAAUGCUUGGGAAUCUGGCUUAUGGAGUGGGAUAACUACGUGAAACUGUAGCUAAUACCGCGUACUAUAGGAUGAGCCCAAGUGGGAUUAGGUAGUUGGGGAGGUAAAGGUUCACCAAGCAGACGAGCUCGAGCUGGUCUGAGAGGAUGACCAUCAACACUGGGACUGAGACACGGACCAGACUCCUACGGGAGGCAGCAGUGGGGAAGAGUGCGCAAUGGGGGCAACCUGACGCAGCCAUGCCGCGUGAAUGAAGAAGGCCUUCGGGUUGUAAAGUUCUUUCGGUAGCGAGGCGUUAACUACAGAAGAAGCACCGGCUAACUCCGUGCCAGCAGCCGCGGUAAUAC
rnacentral:rRNA from 1 species